rnacentral:lncRNA from 1 species
GUCAGUUGGGGCCCAGAGCCUCCAGGGUGACCCAGAGACAGCUCCAAGAUGUGGCUGGAGCCCUGGAAUGGGCUGACCAGUAUGGCAGCCACCCAGAUGACCUGUGUCCUGCUUAUUCCCUCUGUGAAGUUGGACCGGAAGUCCUUACUGGCAGCAGAGCAUGGUGGUGAGCUCUAUCCCUGGACUUCAACUGCCUGGAUUGAAAUCUCGGAUCCCUCAUCACCAGCCAUGUGGCCUGGAUGAGUUACUCAGCACUGUGCUCUUCA